CUCGCCUUGCAGUGCAUUACUGUGCAGAGAGUGAGAGCUCGGAGCAGCUUUGCCUCCACGCAGACACGAACUGUGGGUUAGUGGGUCCUACAUGCAGAUCAUCCAGUUGGUUUGAUUAAAAUGGAUUUAUAAAAAAGGGCCACCUGCGGGGAGUGAUAUGGAGCAGGCUGACCGCGCUGAGACAAAGCAGGAGCGUCGGUGCAAGAUGCUGACUCCUCACACAAAGCGUCAGGAUCCUGACGCCUGAGCCACCUGGUCAGAUGACCAAGACAGUGACAUCAAGAACAACAGUAACAAUAUGAAAAACAAGUUGUUGCUAUAUAUAUGGUGUUUAUAAUAUUUAUUAAAAAGCAUUUGGUUACACAGGAUGUAUUUUCCUGAUAACUUGCUGUAAUUCUGACGCAUUAAUAUGCUGUGCAACACAAGCCAUAAAAAAGAAUUUUAUAAUUUAAAACAUUUUAUUUUUUAUAUUGUUGUUAAGAGGUUUUUGUCACUGGUUGUGAUGUUGAUUGCACAGGCACCCUACUUAAAAACAACAGUGUAUUAAUUUUAUACUGUAAAUAGUGUAAAUACAAUCUAAAACAUACACCUAUUUAAAAUGCUCAUAUUUAUGCUUCUAUAAGUAUAAGUGAACAGAAUAAUGAGUGAAAAAGUGAAAGUUUUGCAGUCCAGGCUAAUAGCAAUAGGAAUAAACUAUUAUAACAGUGAAGUCUGCCUGAUACCCCAUUAAUAACUCCUGAUAAUCUCAAUGUAAGACAACAUAAACCUCAUCUUAUCUGCUCUAUCACCAUGUCAUCAGAGUGCUGGCCUCAUCCUCUACAACAGAGGACCGGCUGUUUGUGACCUUAGUGCUAAAUCAAGUUCAAAGAGGACCACUGGUGUUUGGCGGAUAGUUUUACAUAAGGGCAGUGGGAGAACAGUGUGUUUGGUCAACCUCUGGCUCCCUCUUUGAUUCGCAGCUCUCUGUGACCCCUGGCAGAGUGACACCACUUGAGGCGCUUCGUUCAGCCACACUGGCUAGUCUGAUAAGAUCUGGGUGAUAACUGACUUGGGUUUCAGUCUCUGUUUAGUUAACCAAAUUAUUUUUUAUUACUUUGCAUUUUAGCAAGGUUUCCUCUCUUUUAUAUAUAUUGUUGCACAUUAAAAAAUCAUUUUGGCAACAUCACAUAAAGCAGUCCCACUCCAGCAGAAGAUUAAAAAAAGAUUAUAGGAAAUACUACAUGAAACAGUAACAGUGAGUGGUUGAGCCCACUCUGUCACUGACAAACACAGGCAUUUAUUAAUUCCCACUGUGUCAUUAGGGUAUAUGAAUGCUAAUUACUUCAAGUGGUCAAAGGCAGAUCAUUUUAUUUCACUCUAAAUGCUGUGAGUUUGUCUACACUUAUACCUGUUACAUCACCACUGCGUGGUUGUAUAAAAUCCUUUUAGAAAUGGAUGUUGCACAUUGUUGGCAUAUGCUUCUUUUGCUUUUAUCCAAGGGAUAUAAAAGAGGAAAUAAAACUUAAGUCACUGAUGCAAUGAAUCAAAUCAUUGUUUACCAUUUGAACGGCCGACUUUGGUGCAGCUGAUUGGCAGUGAUUCACCUUUCCUUUUUUGAAAUAUAUGAACAAGAUGUCAGAACCACAGCAUCUACUGUGUGAAAGCUGUAGUUUAUCUGGGCCAUGUUCUGCUGUUUUGGAACCAAAUAGUCUGGUACCAGCGUACAUUAUCCGAGAGCAAAGAAAUACAUGUGGCACAUUAACUUUCCACAGACAACGUCUGAACACAACUGGAAACCCAUCAGAAAAAACAGCACUGUGUUUAUUUUGUAUUACAACUGUAUUAUCGCAUUAUAAGAAUGAAUAAUGUAUUGUAUUUAGACUGCUGUUUUUUUAGGACGAAACUCAAUAAAAUAAUUCUCUGAAGCAGGA